GCACCGGUGGUGGAGUGGUCUAACACGUACGAUUCAGGUUCGUAUCUUGCUUGCAAGGCGCGGGUUCGAAUCCCGUCUGGUGCA
rfam:Beta vulgaris subsp. vulgaris contig120871.1, whole genome shotgun sequence.